rnacentral:rRNA from 1 species
UUAAGCAUAUCAAUAAGCGGAGGAAAAGAAACUAACAAGGAUUCCCCUAGUAACUGCGAGUGAAGAGGGAAGAGCUCAUAUUUGUAAUCUGGCAGUCCUUGGCUGUCCGAGUUGUAAUCUAGAGAAGUGCUACUCGUG